UCCAAAGUGAACCAGGGUCUCAUCCGCG
rnacentral:piRNA from 1 species